CUCUAUACACUGUGCACUUAUUGGCAAAAGAGAGGUAUCCUUUACAGGUGACUUGAUUUUGCGGCUCACUUUUAAACACCAGUCAAAGAAUGUAUACGAAAUAUCGAAAAAAGAAAAACUUUCAACAACGGAUCUCUUGGCUCUCGCAUCGAUGAAGAACGCAGCGAAAUGUGAUAAGUAAUGUGAAUUGCAGAAUUCAGUGAAUCAUCGAAUCUUUGAACGCACCUUGCGCUCCCUGGUAUUCCGGGGAGCAUGUCUGUUUGAGUGUCAUGAACUCUUCAACCCACCUAUUUCUUGUAAAUAGAAUGGUGUUUGGAUUUUGAACGUUUGCCGGUCGCAAGAUCUGGCUCGUUCGUAAUAUAUUAGCAUCUCUCAUUCGAAAUUCGGAUCGACUCAGUGUAAUAGACUAUUCGCUGAGGACACUAGUAAUAGUGGCCGAAAUUUGAUAAUAGGAAGCUUCUAACCUUUGUAGUCAAUUUAAAUUUAGACCUCAGAUCAGGCAGGAUUACCCGCUGAACUUAAGCAUAUCAAUAAGCGGAGGAAAAGAAACUAACAAGGAUUCCCCUAGUAACGGCGAGUGAAGCGGGAAGAGCUCAAAUUUGUAAUCUGUCACCUUUGGUGUCCGAGUUGUAAUCUCGAGAAGUGUUUUCCGCGCCGGACCGCAUACAAGUCUGUUGGAAUACAGCGUCAUAGUGGUGAGAGCCCCGUACACUAUGCGGAUAUCCGGUGCUUUGUGAUACACUUUC
rnacentral:rRNA from 1 species